ensembl:lncRNA
GAGAUUUUCAGUGUGACACAAAGAUGUGAUAUUAAAGAGAUUAAGUAAACCCUGCACUCCUUGGAAUGGAAAUAUUAGUGCAAACUCUCGAGAUUUAUCUAUUAUUUUUCAACCACAUUGAGGAUUCUUAGACACAAUGUCCACUGAAGUAGACAUGGCAUUCCUAGUCCCCAGAUUUUGAUCUCGAUAUAUAUCUAUUUUAUUUAAAGAACCCAAGGUGUGUGGAGAAGUAACUGACUUCUGGUCCGGAGAGGGGGCGUAUGACAUAAGACUGAUUCAUUGAGAUGUUUAUCAGAGUAAGAAAAAAUAUCCAUGGCUCCUAGAUUUAUAUCAGAAAGACCCAGUAACCAACUUGAAGCAGCUCACAAGCAGGGCCAACUUGCGCUUCAAAUGUAUUUAAGUCUAUCAAUUAUGUCUAUACCUAUACAUGUAUAAAAUAUUUUAAAAGAAGAAAACUAGUUGAUUGCAUUGUAAAGAUGAGAGGUAAUCAAUUUUCACCUUCCUUAAAAGCUGGAAUGUGUCUUGAUCUUUCUGUGCAGGGAACAGAAUACUAGAUGAGACGUAAAAGGUUAUGAAAGCUAUGCAAGUGAAUAAAUAACAUGAUCAAAUUAGAACAAACCUAUUUCAGAGCCCUCAAUGAAUUAAUAGAUUUAGGCAUUGAGCACCAGACGCCUCUUACAUUAUAAAAAGUGAAAACUAGCAAACAUACUUCCUGGAAGAAAAAUCAGACUCAAGCAUGGCCUCCUCAGAUGCCUCAGAUUUAACUUUGAUCAAGCCUCUAUUCACUGUGGGUUUUCAGGAAAUGCAGGGAAUUCAACAACCUGUUUAACCGUAAUAGAAAUAAGCAGAGAGUCAUACAUUGUAGAAAACAUCUUAGUGCAAACAACUAAGAUUCUUCAAUAGAUAAACUACAUUGAAAGCAAAGGAUAGGAUAAAUAAAAGAAGGAAGACUUACAUUAUAAAUCACACAGACACACCAACUCCUGAACACCUGCAGCAUUCAAACCAAGGUCAAGAUUUUAGGCAGCCUGACAUUUCCAAGUGUCCGCAAAGCAUAACUUGAUGUGGGUCUGUGUAACUUGUGGUUCCUUUCUGUUUGGACUUCGUAUAAGAAGACAGCCUUGUAAAAUAAAAUCUGUUAAAUGACUGGAAACUACCCUACACUUUUCAUGGUGGUCUUGGAAUAGACAAAGGAUUUGGCCUAGGUUGGAGUGGAGGAAGCUUUCCAGAAAGAGAAGCCACUGUCUGAACAUCCAUAUGUUAUUGAAGAUAUCCACAGCCUAGUGGAGUACGUGGUAAAAGGAGAAGUACAAGGCUCUUUUCCUGGUGUCUGCUUCCCAUUGCCAUGAGGUGAACAUCUUUCCUCUACCAUGCCCUUCUGCCAUGAGUUUCUGUCUUGGAGUUGGCUGACCAUGGACUGAAUCUCUGAAACCAUAAGCCAAAAUAUUGUCCUCCUUUAAGUUGCAGGUGUCAGGUAUGUUUUUCCUAGCAAUACAAAUCUGACUGUUAAUACAGAAACAUACAGCUGUGACCAGAUCCCAACUCUUGCCCACCUUGUCGUUUUUCUGCUGGGACAUAUAAAACUGGUUCAGGCAGUUGAGUGUGUCCAAAAGGGGAACCAAACUACCUCUAUGAGGGAAGUGAAGGCUGGAAACUUUUCAUGUGAAUUCAGAGAAUCCUCCAUGCCUGAAAGGAGCAUUGUCCUAGGGGAGAAGGCAUCCCAGACAGACAACCUGAAAGUUUUGCCCAACAGAAAGCAACCUGCUUCAGAACAGCACAAACAAACCAUUCUGAGCUCCAAGGGAUCCAAAAAGUUUAGUCCUAAAACUACAUUUUGUGGCAAACACACAGGGAUAAAUGUCAAGGAUAACUUAUUUGUGCCACAUCCAUAAAAAUUAAAUCUCUGGACAAGGCUAACAUGUCAAGCAUGGUCAAGACGGAACAGUAAACCUGGCAUCUGUGGAAAUGUAGGAAGCUGUGAAAGUGUUAUGCAGCCACAACAUAUUUGGCAAAAUUGCCGUUUCUGGUAACUUUGGAAAGUAGAAAACGUUGCUAAUGAAUAGCUGUACUGAGAUAAAGAUAUAUUUGUGCCAAAUGCUGCAGUUGUCAUUUGACCCAUGAAAGCUGCAUAUGAUAUGACACUAUGAUAAAAUGUAUGAAUUCGAGAAAAAAAACGGGUCCAUUUGGAGACAAUUCUGAGAAUAGCAAGUUUGAAAAGCACACGGCCUCUCUUUCAUGGGAAAAAUAAUUCACAAAAUAAUUUAAAAUCUGGAGCCAGGGUCAAAUCUAGUAUGCUCCAGAAAUAUCUGGCUUUAUGGUAAAGAUCAAACCAAGAAUACUACAGGAAAGCCCUAGAUGAAGACUUCUGACAUAGUUAAGAUAUAGCCCAGUAGAACUUCUCUGUUGAAUGUUAGGACAUUGUCUGACCACAGCCUUGCACAUCCAACGCAACAGUGGCUGAGUAUGCAGAGCAAAGACGUGUCUUGAAAAGAAAUGUGACCAGCAUAGAGUCAAAUUCAUAGGAGACCCUCUCAGAUUUGGAGACAGCUAUACUGGCAAAAGUAUGCGUUCCAAAUGUACAUGUGAGCUUCUUGAUUUCCAAGCUGUAGGUGGGAAAAAGCAGGUUGAGGAAUCUCUUCAAAGAGUACAUCUUCUUACUCAGCAGCCAGACAGCAUAUUGGAAAAGAAAGAACGUUCUAUGUGGGACCAAGGUCUCUGGAGAAUGAUGGACUGGAACGCCAUUCCCAGGAAGUGGACUGAAUCUGGGAUUAGUUCCCACUCCAGGAGAAGGGCCGUCAAUAUACACAACCAUUAAAGUAAUGAGAUGUAUUUUCAUAUACUCAUAAGUGCGAGUUUCCAAGCUAUGUACUUUAUGAAAUAGAAAAGAAAGUUACCUUUUUUCAUUUUAUAUUUUUAGUGCUUUAUGGAUUCCUGUAAACACAUAUUGGUUUAUAAGUAUUAGUGAUAUUAUCUAGAUGAUAUUAGCAAUCAUUUUCUGUUUUUCUUAUUGUAUUUAUGUUUUAUAUAUAAAUGUAUUUUAUAGAACAAAAACAUGUCCUAUAUACAUAGAAAUAUGUAUUUUCAGCGUGCAAUGCAUAUGCAUGUCCAUAUAUGAAGAUUUAUUUCCAUAAAUAAAGAAGCAUGAAAAUAUAGCUCCAUGCAAGAAGAAGUAACUUGUUAAUGGCAACAAUGUACCCACCCACUAACUCCC